rnacentral:lncRNA from 1 species
CAUGGGAGAAAAUUAAAAAUAAAAGCUCUAGUAGUUACUGCUUAAAUCGUCAUCACUGUGUUUCUACCAAUAUACAACCAGUAUUCUUUCCCCCAUACUCACAAAUGCUUUUUGCUUUUUAAACAUUUUGCUACUUUUUUUCACUGAUUGAAAUAAUUCCUCAUGUUUCACUUGUUUUUUUAAAUAUGUACCGUUUCUAAUUUUUUGUUAAUAUAAACCACAUGCAAUGAAAAAUCUUGCAUAUAUUCUUUUGGUGCAGAUGUGAAAAUUUCUCUGGGGACAGGUAGAUUUUUUUUCCCCCUAAAACCACAGUUUGCAUGGGGCAUGGCCAGUGAGGAAGGACCUGGGUAACGGCAUUCAUGGGGAGUCUGGUCUCCAAAGUUUCUGUAACCCUGACAUUGGGACAGAACGUGUGUUCCUCUCUGGCCUCUUGGAGUUUGCAGCCCAGGUUCGGCUCCACAUGAUGACAAGAGUACAUUCAUUUGUCUUCUCUUUCUGGGGAGCAGAUGUCUUUUAUUCCCACUAGUUAGGUGAACAGAUAAGGAAAUGGCCUCCAAUCAGAAUGGGAACUUCUAGGCACAAUGGAAGCUCUGGGUCUAGAAAGUCUCUGCUCUUCCUGGUGGCUGUGGAUCUAUAACAGCUCGACCUUCCAGAAUGAUCAAAGUCGUAGAGAACCACACGGAGACUUUUAUGCCUGUGAAUUGCAGCGGCUCCUCCCCUGACCACACAGCCCAGGCUCACAGGGCAGGCUCUGUCCCCAGAGAAGAGGGUAGGUAGAAGAGCCAGACGACAGGAAGGGAACCUGCCUUCACAGAAAGAGUCUUUUACAAGUUCCACAGGAGGAACACUUUGUAGAGAGGAAAUAAUGCCUAUGGAGGACUUUUGGAAAGUUUCACCAUGUAAAUUCUUUGAGAUCACUUCCAGGAAAGAUGGAUGCCAGUCAAGAUAUCCAGGAUGUGG